AAGCUAUGGUGUGGGCAUAGUCUCAUAAGCUCCUUGAAUCUGUCCCAAGCCUCAUACAACGAUUCACCAUCCUUUUGAUAAAAACUAGUGAUUUGGUUCCGCAACUGAGCUG